GGUUGCGAUCAUACCUGCACUACACACC
rnacentral:rRNA from 1 species